CGAUACGUGCUGGUUGCUCUCAUGCAGUCGAGCGGAAACGACACUAACAAUCCUUCGGGUGCGUUAAUGGGCGUCGAGCGGCGGACGGGUGAGUAAUGCCUAGGAAAUUGCCUUGAUGUGGGGGAUAACCAUUGGAAACGAUGGCUAAUACCGCAUAAUGCCUACGGGCCAAAGAGGGGGACCUUCGGGCCUCUCGCGUCAAGAUAUGCCUAGGUGGGAUUAGCUAGUUGGUGAGGUAAUGGCUCACCAAGGCGACGAUCCCUAGCUGGUCUGAGAGGAUGAUCAGCCACACUGGAACUGAGACACGGUCCAGACUCCUACGGGAGGCAGCAGUGGGGAAUAUUGCACAAUGGGCGAAAGCCUGAUGCAGCCAUGCCGCGUGUAUGAAGAAGGCCUUCGGGUUGUAAAGUACUUUCAGUUGUGAGGAAGGGGGUAUAGUUAAUAGCUCUAUCUCUUGACGUUAGCAACAGAAGAAGCACCGGCUAACUCCGUGCCAGCAGCCGCGGUAAUACGGAGGGUGCGAGCGUUAAUCGGAAUUACUGGGCGUAAAGCGCAUGCAGGUGGUUCAUUAAGUCAGAUGUGAAAGCCCGGGGCUCAACCUCGGAACUGCAUUUGAAACUGGUGAACUAGAGUACUGUAGAGGGGGGUAGAAUUUCAGGU
rnacentral:rRNA from 1 species